UGCCCAAGAGAUCGGGAUAACACCUGGAAACAGAUGCUAAUACCGGAUAACAACAGAUGAUGCCUAUCAACUGUUUAAAAGGUGGUUCUGCUAUCACUCUUGGAUGGACCUGCGGUGCAUUAGCUAGUUGGUAGGGUAACGGCCUACCAAGGCGAUGAUGCAUAGCCGAGUUGAGAGACUGAUCGGCCACAUUGGGACUGAGACACGGCCCAAACUCCUACGGGAGGCAGCAGUU
rnacentral:rRNA from 1 species